rnacentral:rRNA from 1 species
GACGAACGCUGGCGGCGUGCCUAAUACAUGCAAGUCGAGCGAAGCGGCGGAUGGGUGAGUAACGCGUGGGGAACCUGACCUUAAGUCUGAGAUACCAUAUGGAACCAUAUGCAAAUACCGGAUAAUAACGUAUGGACCUGCUUUGCAUUAGCGAGUUGGUAAGGUAACGGCUUACCAAGGCGAUGAUGCAUAGCCGAGUUGAGAGACUGAUCGGCCACAUUGGGACUGAGAAACGGCCCAAACUCCUACGGGAGGCAGCAGUAGGGAAUCUUCCACAAUGGACGAAAGUCUGAUGGAGCAACGCCGCGUGAGUGAAGAAGGUUUUCGGAUCGUAAAGCUCUGUUGUUGGUGAAGCGGUAAUCAACCAGAAAGUCACGGCUAACUACGUGCCAGCAGCCGCGGUAAUUC